GGUUGUGGCUCAGUGGUGAAGCACUUGCCUAGCACGUGUGAGGCCAUGGGUUCGAUUCUCAGCACCA
rnacentral:tRNA from 1 species